AUUUUUUUUAACAGUGUAGCACAAAUAUCGAUGUGUUAAUCUGAGUAACUGUGGUUUAGCUUUUUGCGCUAUCAGAACUUUUUGAGUCUGUAGGCGGAACAAAUUCCUGCAGCCUUCAGACGGCUGCAACAAACUGCAAGUAUCAAGGAGUAACCUUCACUUCAGCUUUCUAACGCUUGUGAAUGCAGAACUGAAAACAUUUCGUCGCUCAGCCAUGUGGACACAGAGCAGCGUCUUCUAUUUGGCCAUUGUCGCUACAGUCUCUUAUCUGUCUGCAUCUUCAGCUGCUACAGAUGUUCAAAUAAGAUUAGUCAACCCACGUGAGUCUGAGUCAACUCGUUGCUCUGGAAGAGUUGAACUCUAUCACAACAACAGCUGGGGAACGGUCUGUGAUUAUGGAUGGGACAUAGAUGAUGCUGAGGUGGUCUGCAGUCAGUUAGAUUGUGGACCGGCAGUGAAUGCCACUCAGCAGGCCUUCUAUGGAGAAGGAAUAGGACAAAUCUGGUUAACUGAUGUGUCCUGUUCAGGAACGGAAAGUUCUCUAACUGAGUGUAAGCACAGAGGAUAUGGUUCACACAGCUGUGGACAUCGUGAGGAUGCUGGUGUCAUCUGUUCGGGUAUGCCCAUCAGAUUAGCUGGUUCUGGGUCCACUCCGUGCACUGGAAGAGUUGAAUACUACUAUAAAAAACGUUGGGGAACAGUCUGUGAUGAUGGCUGGGACAUAAAUGAUGCUGAGGUGGUCUGCAGACAGUUAGACUGUGGACCGGCAGUGAAACCCACUCGAUCAGCUCAAUUUGGUGAAGGAACAGGAGACAUCUGGCUUGAUGAUGUGGCCUGUUCAGGAAGUGAAAGUUCUCUAACUGAGUGUCAGCACAGAGGAUUUGGGACGCACAACUGUGGACAUCAUCAGGAUGCUGGUGUCAUCUGUUCAGGAAUCAGAUUAGCUGGAUCUCAGUCCCCGUCCUCUGGAAGAGUUGAAAUCUAUCACAAGAACAGCUGGGGAACAGUCUGCGAUGAUGGCUGGGACAUAAAUGAUGCUCAGGUGGUCUGCAGACAGUUAGUCUAUGGGACGGCACUGGCAGCUCCUAAAGAGGCUCAUUUUGGUGAAGGAAGUGGACCAGUCUGGUUUGAUAAUGUGGCCUGUUUGGGAAAUGAAAGAUCUAUAACCCAGUGUCAGCUUGGAGACUUGAGGAGCAGCUGUAGACACCAUAAAGAUGCUGGUGUCAUAUGCUCAGGUGUAGCCAUCAGAUUAGCUGGUUCUGGGUCCACUCAAUGCUCUGGAAGAGUCGAAAUCGCCUACAAUAAAACCUGGGGAACAGUCUGUGAUCAUAACUGGGACAUAAAUGAUGCUGAGGUGGUCUGCAGAGAGUUAAACUGUGGAACAGCCCUGAAUGCCACUCGAUCUGCUCACUUUGGUGAAGGAACAGGAGAAAUCUGGCUGGAUGAUGUGUCCUGUUCAGGAAGUGAGAAAUCUCUGACUGAGUGUAAUCACGGAGGAUUUGGGAUACACAGCUGUACACACAGUAAGGAUGCUGGUGUCAGCUGUUCAGGUGUGCCAGUCAGAUUAUCUGGAAGCACUUUGUGCUCUGGAAGAGUCGAAAUCUUUCACAACAACACUUGGGGAACAGUCUGUCAUGAUAACUGGGACAUGAAUGAUGCUGAGGUGGUUUGCAGAGAGCUCAGCUGUGGAACGGCACAGAGUGCUGCUGUAUCACCCCGCUUUGGUGAGGGAAAUGGAUCCAUCUGGCUUGAUGAUGUGUCCUGUUCAGGAAGUGAGAGAUCUCUGACUGAGUGUCAGCACAGAGGAUUUGGGACACAUGACUGUACACACAGUCAGGAUGCUGGUGUUGUCUGCUCAGUGAUCCUCCCAAAGCCCAGAAUCUUCAUGAAUCCUGCUAAUAAAGUUAAGUGGAGAAGUGAUCUCAACAUAACUUGUUCAAUAUCACCUCAAAGCCAACAGCUUCUACAAGGAGAAUUUACUCUGAAGCAGAUUUCAGGCUCAUUCAGUCAGACAAAACCAUCAACUACCAACUCUGCUACAUUCAGGAUCCUCAAUGUAGAUUUUGACAAGGAUGGAUUGUACCAGUGUGAAUAUUCAUACGACUCCAGCAUCUCCACAAGUGACUCUGCUAACCUCUCUGUUAUUGUGUCACUGGAGCAGCCCAGCAUUUCUGUGAGGUCUCCAAAUGGAGGACUGGUCAGGGUUCCUGAAGGUGCAGAAAUCAUCAAGGGUUACAGCUUCAACUUCACCUGCACCACUAGUGUACACUAUCCUGGAGCUGUUUUCUUUCUCAUCUUCUCUCGCUCUAAAAUUAAAUACAACAUGACAUCCGUCAACAACUCAGCCUACUUGAGUUUUCCUGUAGCUGACUUUGAACAUGAGGGCGACUACAGCUGUCUGUAUGAGAUAACGCUGCCAUCAAGGAAAAUCACUGCUCAAGAGGAUUGGUGGAUUCAUGCCUUUGUGAUAUAUUCAAGAACUCCAAUCCUGAGAUAUGUUUUCCUGCCACUGAUUCUGCUUUUGGAGAACAUUGCCCUUCAUUUCUACUAUAAGGUCUCCAAAAAGCAGAAACCAGCCAAAAAAGAGAACGCUGAGACGGAUGUUUCCAGAGAUGAAGAAGUUCAUGCUGAGGAGGAAACAGCAGAAGAGAUAGAAUAGAGUGUUACACACCUACACACACACACACACACACGCACACACACACCUACACACACAUACACACACACACACACACACACACACACACACACACACACACACACCUACACACACAUACACACACACACACACACACACACACAAACAGGUGGAGAGGCUUUCACCCAAAUAUUAUUUCUCACAGGUUGAUAAAUAAAUACAAUAGGAAAAGAAGAAGAACUGCUGACUUUGCUCUUUAGUGACAAGGUUCAACUAUGAGCACACAACAAGGUGAAGAAUAGGGUGAAAACAAUGUAAAAAAACAUGAUGCAAAUGUGUGUUUCUUAUAUAAAUUUGUGGAAUCUUGAGGCAUGUUAAGACUCGUGUAUAUACUGUAUGAUUUCCUUUUACAUAUAUACCCUAAAAAACCCUAAAACUAGAAGUUGCACUGUAAGCACUGAUGUUACUAUGUGUCAAAUCUCUAUUUUGAGAACUGCUUAAGGUAAAAUGGAAGCAGAGACAUAUAUUUUUUAUGUUCUUUGAAGUUUGAUUGCAAGAUUGACAUUAUUGACAAAGACAUUAUAGAUAAUAAAAAGUUGAGAUGACUACAUAGAAAAAGCACAUUAAAACAAUGCCUACAAAGAAAAUGAUGGUAUUGUAUGAAGAUCUACUGGAAACAAAUUCUUCAUUCUGUAACUUGGAACUGAAUAAAAAUUUGUCUCACAACAUUUAAUGUAUAAAGUGUGAGAACAGAGCUGCCAGCAGAGACACAGGAAGUCAGUGUGAUCGAGAUAAGGGUAUCUUAUAACUGCUACUGCUUUACAAAAAUAAAAUUCAGAACAACAAAAUAACUGUAGUAAAUUUAUUAGUAAAUAUGAAUUAGUUUUUAGCUGAUAUUUUCUGUAUUCAGAAAUCUUUGCACCUGCUCUAAAGCUAUAUCUCUCUGUAUUAACAUUCACCUGAUAAACCUGUCAUCGAGGACUCUGUUCUUCAUGUCCUGUUUGUGAGUUAUAUUUU